rnacentral:rRNA from 1 species
GGCUAUUGCGCAGGGGCCCCACCCGUUCCCAUCCCGAACACGGUCGUUAAGCCCUGCAGCGCCGAUGGUACUGCUUAUGCGGUAGAGUAGGUCGCCGCCUCUC